AGUGAACGCUGGCGGUAGGCCUAACACAUGCAAGUCGAACGGCAGCACAGUAAGAGCUUGCUCUUACGGGUGGCGAGUGGCGGACGGGUGAGGAAUACAUCGGAAUCUACUUUUUCGUGGGGGAUAACGUAGGGAAACUUACGCUAAUACCGCAUACGACCUACGGGUGAAAGCAGGGGAUCUUCGGACCUUGCGCGAUUGAAUGAGCCGAUGUCGGAUUAGCUAGUUGGCGGGGUAAAGGCCCACCAAGGCGACGAUCCGUAGCUGGUCUGAGAGGAUGGUCAGCCACACUGGAACUGAGACACGGUCCAGACUCCUACGGGAGGCAGCAGUGGGGAAUAUUGGACAAUGGGCGCAAGCCUGAUCCAGCCAUACCGCGUGGGUGAAGAAGGCGUUCGGGUUGUAAAGCCCUUUUGUUGGGAAAGAAAAGCAGUAGGUUAAUACCCCGCUGUUCUGACGGUACCCAAAGAAUAAGCACCGGCUAACUUCGUG
rnacentral:rRNA from 1 species